rnacentral:rRNA from 1 species
CACAUCGUUAAGGCUGGGCUGUGAUGGGGAGCGAAAAUUGUAGUAGCGAAGGUCAUGAUCUCAGACUGCCAAGAAAAGCCUCUAGCCAGGAGAAGGUGCCCGUACCGCAAACCGACACAGGUAGGCGAGAAGAGAAUUCUAAGGCGCGCGGAAGAACUCUCGUUAAGGAACUCGGCAAAAUGACCCCGUAACUUCGGGAGAAGGGGUGCCUCGGUAGGGUGAAUAGCCCGAGGGGGCCGCAGUGAAAAGGCCCAAGCGACUGUUUAGCAAAAACACAGGUCUGUGCGAAGCCGCAAGGCGAAGUAUACGGGCUGACGCCUGCCCGGUGCUGGAAGGUUAAGGGGAGUGGUAAGCCUUCGGGCGAAGCUAUGAACCGAAGCCCCAGUAAACGGCGGCCGUAACUAUAACGGUCCUAAGGUAGCGAAAUUCCUUGUCAGGUAAAUUCUGACCCGCACGAAUGGCGUAACGACUUGGGCGCUGUCUCAACGAGAGAUCCGGUGAAAUUUUAAUACCUGUGAAGAUGCAGGUUACCCGCGACAAGACGGAAAGACCCCAUGGAGCUUUACUGCAGCUUGAUAUUGAAUUUGGGUACGAUCUGUACAGGAUAGGUGGGAGCCGUUGAAUCUUGAGCGCCAGCUUGAGAGGAGGCAUCCUUGGGAUACCACCCUGAUCGUAUCUAGGUUCUAACUUGGUACCGUGAUCCGGUGCGAGGACAGUGUCAGGUGGGCAGUUUGACUGGGGCGGUCGCCUCCUAAAGAGUAACGGAGGCGCCCCAAGGUUCCCUCAGAAUGGUUGGAAAUCAUUCGAAGAGUGCAAAGGCAGAAGGGAGCUUGACUGCGAGACCUACAAGUCGAGCAGGGACGAAAGUCGGGCUUAGUGAUCCGGUGGUACCGCAUGGAAGGGCCAUCGCUCAACGGAUAAAAGCUACCCUGGGGAUAACAGGCUUAUCUCCCCCAAGAGUCCACAUCGACGGGGAGGUUUGGCACCUCGAUGUCGGCUCAUCGCAUCCUGGGGCUGAAGUAGGUCCCAAGGGUUGGGCUGUUCGCCCAUUAAAGCGGUACGCGAGCUGGGUUCAGAACGUCGUGAGACAGUUCGGUCCCUAUCUGUCGUGGGCGUAGGAAAUUUGAGAGGAGCUGUCCUUAGUACGAGAGGACCGGGAUGGACGUACCGCUGGUGUACCAGUUGUUCCGCCAGGAGCACCGCUGGGUAGCUAUGUACGGAAGGGAUAAGCGCUGAAAGCAUCUAAGCGUGAAGCCCCCCUCAAGAUGAGAUUUCCCAAUUAGUAAGACCCCUUGAAGACGACGAGGUAGAUAGGUUGGGGGUGGAAGUGCAGUAAUGCAUGGAGCUGACCAAUACUAAUCGGUCGAGGGCUUAUCCUAAA